rnacentral:tRNA from 1 species
GUCCCCAUCGUCUAGAGGCCCAGGACACAGGGUUUUCAUCCCUGGUACGGGGGUUCGAAUCCCCCUGGGGACGCC